AUGUGCGCGAGCGCUCCAAUCCCCGCGGCGCGGCUGUCACGUGAGGCAGGUGGCGUGCGUGCUUCCGGGGCCGCGCGGGGCGGCGCGCAGGGUAGGGCAGGGGUUCAGGGCCGCGUCCGCUGUGGUGAGGCCUGGCCCGUCCGGUCCGACUUCCGCCAGUAUCAGGACAUCUUAGAGUGUAUGUGUAACUGUAAACCAUAUCAAACAAUGGCAGUUCAGUGGUCUUCUCAACGGUGUUAUACUUGUAUCCUACACGAACCCAAACCGAGCCAGCUCAGUGUUGGUGAGAUCUGAGAACCAGCUCUCCUUCCAGGAAAAGGAAGAGAACACCCAUGUUUGACUUCUGGUGCACGCAGUAACACACCUCAGCUAAGUAUUUACAUGGGUUUAACCUGCGGGUCUGCACUGAGGUCCUUUCAUUAGCUGUAGCUGAGGAGAAGUGAUUGCAGUGAUGUGGUGCCUUGCGGUACUUCUGACCUGCUUGUAGUGCUCUAACUGGCUUAGAAAUAGAACAGCAUUGCUGAUCGCCAAAGUCCAGUGGUUGCGUGAAGAGAGCAGAACCACGUGGCAGUCCUGCAGCCAGGGGUUCUCUGUAUUGAAAUUUCUGACCUGAUCAAUCUCCCAGUCUUCUAACUUGAUUUCUUUAUGUUAAAUGGAGAGUAACAGCGAGCAAAUCUGCUGUUCUGAGAAACUAUGUGUUGGCUGUGAGGAGUGCUAGGACCAGUCAGAAAUCAAUUGUUUCUCUCCUACAUGACUAGUAAAUACUUGCAUUAUUAGUGUUAUACUUUCAAGUUUAACAUUUACAUGUUUCAUUUACAGCUGAUUUGAAAAGACUUGGGUGCAGUAAAAAGAAAAGCCACUGCUACCACAGCAGCCUUAGGAAGACUAUUCUAAACUCUGCUUUAGCUUGAAUGAGCAGAGCUUUUUUUCUUGCUUUGCAGGCACUGAUAUUAUGAUUUAAAAUCAUUCAUUAGCCAUCGUGGAAGUCUGCACUUCUCUAACUUUCCUGAAACUGAAGAUUACUUUUCCUCCCAGAUUUCUUAUUUUUUCUAAUUGACAAGUGAUAGUGCUUUUGUUCUUGAGACUUUAAGUCAAAACAUCUGAAACAACUUGUUAAUCUGCAUCUCGAGAAGGAUGCAGAAGUGAAGUAGCCUGAACUCAUGUUUUUCUGAUGUAGGACUUGGAGCUUGCCCUUGAAGUUGUUUGCAAUUAUACUGCACGGUAAUUAAUGAAUGAUGGUUUUCAAAUCUACCUUUAUGAGAAGCUGCUGAUGUGGGAAGUGUGUUCUAAACGU
rnacentral:lncRNA from 1 species